UCCAUUUGAAAACUCACGAGAAAAAGGCCCUUGAGGCCUUUUUCCUGGUUAUUGAAGACAUCUUAGGAAACACUUAUGGUGACAAUUAAUCAAGCAAAAAUAGAUCCAGUUUUUCUGAAGAUCAAGCUUAACAUGUGUGCCAUGCUUUAAAAUGUCUUUCCAGGCACUCUCUCCUGCCCACGGAUCUUGCUUGGGAAAGGAAUGGGGCAAGUGGAAAUGGCCAUUUCUUAGAUGAACACAUCAGGGACUUGCUCCAGUCUGAAGUCUAUACAGAGCUAGGCUUUGAAUCCAGUCACGUAACUCAGGUGUGUGUUCAGAGCUUGACGGAUUACCACCAGGCUGGGCCAACAGGGUCGUUUUCAAGUCAGCUAGCCCUAAAAGGGCAAAAAAUUGUUGCAAUGCUCCCAGAUGUAACUCUGACCUGGUAUGGUUCAGGGACGAGGCCACUCACACACACUUGGGCAACUGCUCUUCUCGUGACCAGCCUCUUUCUGUGGGAAUCACUC
rnacentral:lncRNA from 1 species